AUUGAACGCUGGCUGCAGGCCUAACACAUGCAAGUCGAACGAGUGGCGGACGGGUGAGUAAUGUCUGGGCAACUGCCUGAUGGAGGGGGAUAACUACUGGAAACGGUAGCUACUACCGCAUACCAUCAGAUGUGCCCAGAGGGGAUUAGCUAGUUGGUGGGGUAACGGCUAACAAAGGCCACGAUGCCUAGCUGGUCUGAGAGGAUGACCAGCCACACUGGAACUGAGACACGGUCCAGACUCCUACGGGAGGCAGCAGUGGGGAAUAUUGGACAAUGGGCGAAAGCCGGAUGCAGCAAGGCCGCGGGUAUGAAGAAGGCUUUCGGGUUGUAAAGUACUGUCAGUGGGGAGGCGUUACCCGCAGAAGAAGCACCGGCUAACUCCGUGCCAGCAGCCGCGGUAAUUC
rnacentral:rRNA from 1 species